GCCUGGGUGGCUCAGUCGGUUGAGCAUCCGACUUCAGCUCAGGUCACGAUCUCGCGGUCCGUGGGUUUGAGCCCCGUGUCGGGCU
rnacentral:tRNA from 1 species